UCCAAGUCAGGUCUGUAAGGUUUUAAGUAACUUUAAAGCAGUUUGUAAGUUGAAAUGAAAAGGAAGAGAAAGAAUAAAAAAUUUGGAGCAUUAAAAAAUCGGAAAGGAUAAUUCAAAGGUUGCCAUUAAAAGAGAGGUCACCACGGAAGAGGAAGGGAAAGCAAGGAAUCAUGAUGGGCUUGCAAAUAUCUUUAGGAAAGAACUUUUGUGUGUGCUGAAACCUGGAACUUAGUUGAAGCAAAUAGAAUAAAGGCCUACCAAUGUAAGAGAGGCUCCAAUUGCUCUACUGUGAGAACAUCUAAAUCUGUGAAGGAGCUGGGUUUUACUGCCUUUUAUUUAGCUGACAUACUGGACGUUCAUAGCUGCUGAAUCCGAGGGCCCUACUACCCAGCCAUCCUGGGCAUUCUCUUUCCCAAACACCUGGGAAAGCUGAAGAGAGAACCGAGUUGGAGUUGAGUCCCAGCUUUACUGCUUUGGCAAGUCACAUCUGCUCUUGAGUCUCUAUUUUCCAAUAUGUAAAAUAAGAGUAAUGGGUUGUGAAAAGUCAAGAAUGACGCCACAGCAUUUUAGGAGCUGUCCAGUGCUGAACAAAAACAGGGUGGAAGCUGACGAAGCUGAUGGCAAAGUUGGAGAUGAUGGCAACAAUGGUGAUAAUAGAGCUUCACACAUCAAGUUACUUGAUUUUUGACAGACUGAUUAGACAGUUUCCCUGAAUAGAGCUGCCUAUCACCUUCCUUCUAGAGUGUACCCGGAUAAGUUUGGGUAAGAUACUCAUCUCUCUACACUUAAUUUAUCUAUAAAAUGGGAAUAAUAAAAACCACCAGGCAGUGUUGCUGUGAGAAUUGAAAUAAAUAAGUCAAUAAAUUUAAAAGUCUCCCGAAGAGUGCCUGGCCCUU